UCCCCGGGCUCANCCUGGGAACUGCGUUCUGAACUGGGUGACUAGAGUGUGUCAGAGGGAGGUAGAAUUCCACGUGUAGCAGUGAAAUGCGUAGAGAUGUGGAGGAAUNCCGAUGGCGAAGGCAGCCUCCUGGGAUAACACUGACGUUCAUGCCCGAAAGCGUGGGUAGCAAACAGGAUUAGAUACCCUGGUAGUCCACGCCCUAAACGAUGUCGAUUAGCUGUUGGGCAGCAUGACUGCUUAGUAGCGAAGCUAACGCGUGAAAUCGACCGCCUGGGGAGUACGGUCGCAAGAUUAAAACUCAAAGGAAUUGACGGGGACCCGCACAAGCGGUGGAUGAUGUGGAUUAAUUCGAUGCAACGCGAAGAACCUUACCUGGUCUUGACAUGUACGGAACCCUCCAGAGACGGAGGAGUGCCUUCGGGAGCCGUAACACAGGUGCUGCAUGGCUGUCGUCAGCUCGUGUCGUGAGAUGUUGGGUUAAGUCCCGCAACGAGCGCAACCCUUGUCAUUAGUUGCCAUCAUUAAGUUGGGCACUCUAAUGAGACUGCCGGUGACAAGCCGGAGGAAGGUGGGGAUGACGUCAAGUCCUCAUGGCCCUUAUGACCAGGGCUUCACACGUCAUACAAUGGUCGGUACAGAGGGUAGCCAAGCCGCGAGGCGGAGCCAAUCUCACAAAACCGAUCGUAGUCCGGAUUGCACUCUGCAACUCGAGUGCAUGAAGUCGGAAUCGCUAGUAAUCGCAGGUCAGCAUACUGCGGUGAAUACGUUCCCGGGUCUUGUACACACCGCCCGUCACACCAUGGGAGUGGGGGAUACCAGAAGUAGGUAGGGUA
rnacentral:rRNA from 1 species